CACACAGGACCAAUAAGCCUGUCACGAUCGCUCAUAAUACGUUGCUUUACGACUUAUUGGAAAGAUAAGUGGACCUGUCUGGGGGAAAGCGUGUUCCUUAUGUUUAAGGAGGAGAUAGAGGAAGGGUGGUAAUUAUGACGCAAAUGAGUAGCUAUAAAUGAGAUUAUUUUGACAGCUUCUGGCAGUAACAACAUGGAACUAUCAAGACGAUUGUUAUUUUCUGUCGUUCUUUCCGUGUCUGUAUGGCAGCUUGGAUGGACACGACCUUAUAUUUACUCUUACAAUUUUCAAGUUCCAUCAAAUUCUGCUGGUGUGGUGAUAACUUCCAACACUGAUGGAUCCCAAGGUGUACAUUAUUUGACUGAACAAGAAGCACAAAUGAUGUUCCAGCAGCAACAAGCACAAAUUGCAUCCCUCAUAUCAAUUCCAUACUAUUUUCUGCAGAAUAUGUUGUCCCACUUCCCAUUCAUUGGCUAGUUUAAAUGUACAGAAGCCCACAAACAUUUUGGUAAUACAGAACUCUUUGUCAUCCAUUGAUAUAUUUUUAAUAUUACAACAUUCUAGGCCUGUAUUUGGGAAGUACUUGGUUUAAAUCUCAGUCAGACUACUGUCUAUCCUGGUGUUUUCUUCACUUACUCAAGGUGAAUGCUGAAAUAAUACUUUGAAAUAUGCCAUGACCACCUCUUUCCAAAUCCUUUCUUACCAAACUGUCAUGAACAUUUUCCUUCUUUUACUUGAUGCUAUAUAAUCUAUGCAGCUGAAACAGCAUCAUUAAAUAACACAAGAUUAAAUCAUCUUAGUUGUUUCAUAUGAAUAUGAUGUGACUCAUGCCACCACAUUUACACCAGCUCUGGGACCCACCCAGCCUCCUAUUUAAUUGUACAAAUUUCCUUGGAGAUAAAUUACUUACAAGAA